UCAAGUCCUAACUAUAGGGUGCACUUAUCACUCAAUGUGAGCAAAUAAGUAUUUCUCAAUAAGUACUUUUUGCUUCUGAGUCACAAAAGUUCUUGACAUGCUUCACUCGAUUCCUUCACUCCCACUCACAGAAACCCCACAAUAUCAGGGAUUGAGGGAAAAGGUCUCUAACAACCCAUUUUCAUCCUUAUCCAUAUUAAAUUCAAACACUUUAAACAAAAAUAUCUUCCUAUAAUCUUUCUCUCACACAUAUCAAUUGUGAUAUGAUUAAUUUUUUAUAUGCACUCACACACAAUAAAACACUACUGAGAAGCCAAAAACAACAAGUAAAAUCCCUAAACCAAUUUCACUUAGAGCUCUUUCUUUUUUGUUGUUUACAGUUUCAUAUCAGAAGCUCUAAAUCCAACCUGAGCUAGACCCAAUCACAUAGAGGCAUACAACCACAACCCAGAAGUAAAAAUCACAUUCAAAGGAAAAAAGAAUGGAAAAGGUUUGCAAACUAAAAGAGCAGACGGGGAAGAAAUAAGAAGAUACGUUAGGAAUAUGUUUACUUCAGGAACACCCGGAUCGGAUGAACAUUGAUGUCGUGUUAAUCUGCGUCACCUUGAAAUAUCUUGAGUGUCGUCGUUGGCUUCAUCGGCACCAUCGACUUUGAUUCAACUUGGUCGGGUUUUAUGGGCUCGGGUUGUGUUGGUUCUUGGAGAGUGAGAAAGAGAAUUGGGAGAAGAGAAAGAAACUCAUGCAUGAAAUGAGCCCUCUCUCUGAGUUCACAUGCUUUAUUCACGAGUAAUUUCCUGCCCUGCCCCACAUUUGAAAAAAUUGUCCCAAUAUAUCCCAUUUUGAAAAAAAAUUCCCAGUCUACCCCCUUUUUAGUGGGGCCUCGCCAUUCCAUUUGACGAGGGACUGAAGAAUUUUUUCUUGCUUGUAAGCUCGUCACUUGAAGUGACGAGGCAUUAAAGCAAUUCGUUUUUUUUUUUAAUAUAGUUUCAAAAUAAAUUUGUAUUUUAGUUUCCAAUAUAGUUUUAGUUUUUAUCUUCUGAGUGUACCCCUAAUCAAUAUUUUUAAUUAUUAUUUCUCUCACCUUA